rnacentral:tRNA from 1 species
UAGCUCAGUGGUGGAGCCCAUGCUUCGCGUGCGUGAGGUCCUGGGUUCAAUCCCCAG